rnacentral:rRNA from 1 species
UACGAAGGGGGCUAGCGUUGCUCGGAAUUACUGGGCGUAAAGGGCGCGUAGGCGGAUCGUUAAGUCGGGGGUGAAAUCCUGGAGCUCAACUCCAGAACUGCCUUCGAUACUGGCGAUCUUGAGUCCGGAAGAGGUGAGUGGAACUCCUAGUGUAGAGGUGGAAUUCGUAGAUAUUAGGAAGAACACCAGUGGCGAAGGCGGCUCACUGGUCCGAUACUGACGCUGAGGUGCGAAAGCGUGGGGAGCAAACAGG